rnacentral:tRNA from 1 species
ACCAUAGCCAAGUGGUAAGGCAACGGUCUGCAAAACCGUUAUUCCCCGGUUCAAAUCCGGGU